CGACCCUCAAGCUCUGCUUGGUCUUGGGCCUCGCCGUCCCCGCGGCGGGCCCUAAAAUCAGUGGCGGUGCCGUCUCGGCUCCAAGCGUAGUAGCACUAUCUCGCUCUGGAGACCCGGCGGUUGCUGGCCAGAUAACCCCCAAUUUCUUUCUCGU
rnacentral:misc_RNA from 1 species